rnacentral:rRNA from 1 species
UGAGGAAUAUUGGUCAAUGGGCGAGAGCCUGAACCAGCCAAGUAGCGUGCAGGAUGACGGCCCUAUGGGUUGUAAACUGCUUUUACGCGGGGAUAAAGUGCGUGACGUGUCGCGCAUCGCAGGUACCGCGUGAAUAAGGACCAGCUAAUUCCGUUCCAGCAGCCGCGGUAAUACGGAAGGUCCGGGCGUUAUCCGGAUUUAUUGGGUUUAAAGGGAGCGCAGGCCGCCCGAUAAGCGUGUUGUGAAAUGUACCGGCUCAACCGGUGAGUUGCAGCGCGAACUGUCAGGCAUGAGUGCACGGUAAGCAGGCGGAAUUCAUGGUGUAGCGGUGAAAUGCUUAGAUAUCAUGAGGAACUCCGAUUGCGAAGGCAGCUUGCUGCAGUGCGACUGACGCUUAGGCUCGAAGGUGCGGGUAUCAAACAGG